GAUGAAGAACGCAGCGAAAUGCGAUACGUAAUGUGAAUUGCAGAAUUCAGUCAAUCAUCGAGUCUUUGAACGCACAUUGCGCCCCCUGGUAUUCCGGGGGGCAUGCCUGUCCGAGCGUCAUUGCUGCCCUCAAGCACGGCUUGUGUGUUGGGCCUCCGUCCUCCUCCCGGGGGACGGGCCCGAAAGGCAGCGGCGGCACCGCGUCCGGUCCUCGAGCGUAUGGGGCUUCGUCACCCGCUCUUGUAGGCCCGGCCGGCGCUUGCCGACACAUCAAUCUUUUUUCCAGGUUGACCUCGGAUCAGGUAGGGAUACCCGCUGAACUUAAGCAUAUCAAUAAGCGGAGGA
rnacentral:misc_RNA from 1 species